UACGACUACAUAUCAGGCAUAUCAAUAAGCGGAGGAAAAGAAACCUAACUAGGAUUCCCUUAGUAACGGCGAGUGAAGCGGGAAGAGCUCAAAUUUGAAAUCUUCAAGGUUUUACCUUGACGAAUUGUAGUUUAAAGAAGUGUUUUCUGUUGAAGUUUUCGGUAAAAGUUCUUUGGAAUAGGACAUCAUAGAGGGUGAGAAUCCCGUAUUUGACCAUUUAUUUCCAGCUGUGUGAUACACUUUCAAAGAGUCGGAUUGUUUGGGAAUGCAGUCCAAAAUGGGUGGUAAAUUUCAUCUAAAGCUAAAUAUUGGCGAGAGACCGAUAGCGAACAAGUACCGUGAGGGAAAGAUGAAAAGAACUUUGAAAAGAGAGUUAAACAGUACGUGAAAUUGUCAAAAGGGAAGCGUUUGACACCAGUGUUGUUUUCUCGAAAAUUAAUUAAAAAUGACCGGAUUUUGUGUUGUAUUGACUUUAUCAGCUUUCUGCACUUUUUUCUUGUCUUUUUUAAUGCACUUUUCGUUUAACAAGUCAACAUCAAUUUCUUUUGUUGUAAAAGGAGUCAUUGGAAGGUGGCUUUCACUUCGGUGAAAGUGUUUAUAGCCUUUGACUUCUGCAAUCGGAAAGAUUGAGGUCUGCAGCGUAGAUCCUUCGGGGUUAGAUACAUUUGUGCUAAGUUAUAGUUUUUCAUAGACAACAUGUUGACUAUGAUUAAUCAUGUAGCUUACUCGCUUAUGCUAUUUUACCUACGCUUAGGAUGUUGAUCUCUCACAGUCGAGC
rnacentral:rRNA from 1 species